GUCAGAGAAAAAGAAGAAGAUGUCGAAGAAGAUAACCGGAGAUAGUCCCUUUGAGUACUCCUUUAAGAACAAGGGUCCUAAAAAGACACAAUCUCUUCCUCUAGCGUCAAUUCUGUUGGUGCAGAAUUUUAUCGAUGUCGGAGAAGCUGGAGUUGAGGGGAUCACGGCCGCCGUCGGGACCUGCAAGGAAAGUCUAAACUGGAGUUGGGGGUG
rnacentral:lncRNA from 1 species